AGACGCAGACGCAGACGCAGACGCAGACGCAGACGCACCAUUUCCAGAGACGAAAGCAGUCCAGCGGAGAGUUUGAAGCCAAGGACAGAAGUGGGCAGAGUUUAGAGUUCUUAUUUCGACUUUGCCAUUAGCUUGGAAAAGCACGAUUACCCUUUUAGGAAGUGUCUGAGUGGCCGAUAUCAUAAACUUGGCCUCACUGGUCCAAACACUGUGGCUCCCAGCCAGAGGAUCUCACGCUUCAGUGGAAGUUCUCCAGCUGACUCACUGUAGAAGGAUACCCUCAGUCUUGACUUGCAGACAAGUCAACGGACGGGUCUCUCUACAUCCAUGUUAGCAUCCAAAGAAAGCAGCUGCAGUGAUUAAUAAUAACAAACUCCUCCUUACAGAGGUUAAGGAUGUCUGGAUGCACAAGGACCGGUCUUUGGGGCAUUUCCAUUUUACAGCACACACUGUGUAUACUCGCACUCCUAAAAGAUCAGAAAGAGGUGCUUCCUUUCCUGGCUAAGUAGAUGUUGUCCAGGUACUUGGCCAUCUUUCGUACAAGAUUUCAUUAACAGAACCCUAAGUCAUGGAAAGUUCAUCGCAGUUCUGCAUUUGGUACAGAUCGGAGGAGGUCACUUCCUCCUUAGAUUUACUGAUAGCCAGCAGAUUAAUAGAGGAAGCACUGUAUCUCACAUCACACACUAUCACAUCCCUGUUGAAAAUAAACUUGAAUUCAUAGUCUGUUAUCUUUCAAACAAGAGGCCCAGAAUCCUCCCUCGAACAGAAGAAUGUGUCAAUG